UUAGGAUUUGAUUAGGAUUUUUUUAGGAUUUAAAAUUUGAUUUAGGAUUAAGAUUAGGAUUUUGAUUUGAUUUAAGCUUGACUAGGAUUUGACUAGGAUUUGUCUAGGAUUUGCUUAGGACUUAUUUAGGAUUUGUUUAGGAUUUGACUAAAGUUUAUUUAAGGAGUGACUAGGAUUUAUUUAGGAUUUGACUAGGAUUUAUUUAAGAUUUGAUUAAGAUUUAUUUAAGAUCUAUCUAGGAUUUAUUUAGGAUUUGAUUAGAAUUUGGUUAAGAUUUUUUUAAGAUUUGAUUAGAAUUCAAUUAGGAUUUGAUAAAGAUUUGUCUUAGAUUUGAUUAGGGCAUAUUUAGGAUUUUUUUAAUAUUUGAUUAGGAUUUAUUUAGGAUUUGAUUAAGAUUUUUUAAAAAUUUGAUUAGGAUUUGAUAAUAAUUUGAUUAGGAUUUUAUUAGAAUUUAUUUAGGAUUUGAUUAAGAUUUGUCUAGAAUUUGGUUAGAAUUUCUUUAGGAUUUCUUUAGGAUUUGAUUAAGGUUUGACUAAGGAUUGACUAAGAUUUGACCAAGAUUUGAUUAAAUUUUAAGUAAAAUUUAAUUAAGAUUUU
rnacentral:lncRNA from 1 species